GGGCUUAGUGGUGGGGUGACUGCGUACCUUUUGUAUAAUGGGUCAGCGACUUAUAUUCUGUAGCAAGGUUAACCGUAUAGGGGAGCCGGAGGGAAACCGAGUCUUAACCGGGCGUUAAGUUGCAGGGUAUAGACCCGAAACCCGGUGAUCUAGCCAUGGGCAGGUUGAAGGUUGGGUAACACUAACUGGAGGACCGAACCGACUAAUGUUGAAAAAUUAGCGGAUGACCUGUGGCUGGGGGUGAAAGGCCAAUCAAACCGGGAGAUAGCUGGUUCUCCCCGAAAGCUAUUUAGGUAGCGCCUCGUGAAUUCAUCUCCGGGGGUAGAGCACUGUUUCGGCUAGGGGGCCAUCCCGGCUUACCAACCCGAUGCAAACUGCGAAUACCGGAGAAUGUUAUCACGGGAGACACACGGCGGGUGCUAACGUCCGUCGUGAAGAGGGAAACAACCCAGACCGCCAGCUAAGGUCCCAAAGUCAUGGUUAAGUGGGAAACGAUGUGGGAAGGCCCAGACAGCCAGGAUGUUGGCUUAGAAGCAGCCAUCAUUUAAAGAAAGCGUAAUAGCUCACUGGUCGAGUCGGCCUGCGCGGAAGAUGUAACGGGGCUAAACCAUGCACCGAAGCUGCGGCAGCGAACGUAUCACCCAAGACAACUUUACGGAGUUGACGAUUGACGGAGCGAAGCGACGUCAAAGCGUUCAUUAAAGUCGAGUUGGCUUAGGGAUACGUUCGUUGGGUAGGGGAGCGUUCUGUAAGC
rnacentral:rRNA from 1 species